rfam:Ricinus communis cultivar Hale ctg_1100012357018, whole genome shotgun sequence.
AGACCGUGGUGUAGACAGCAUCUCAAUAAGUCUUUAUACCUUUCAUAGGCCUUGUACAUGCUCUCAUCGUCCAUCUGCACAAAAGAAGAAAUGUCAUUUCUCAAUUU